UUCUAAGGGCGGUGAAGUCAGACCGGAAGGACUGGUGGAGCGCUUAGAAGUGAGAAUGCCGGUAUGAGUAGCGAAAGAAGGGUGAGAAUCCCUUCCACCGAAUAUCUAAGGUUUCCUGAGGAAGGCUCGUCCGCUCAGGGUUAGUCGGGACCUAAGCCGAGGCCGAUAGGCGUAGGCGAUGGACAACAGGUAGAGAUUCCUGUACCAGUGCUAAUUGUUUAACCGAUGGGGUGACACAGAAGGAUAGGGAAUCGCACGAAUGGAAAUGUGCGUCCAAGCAGUGAGUGUGAGAAGUAGGCAAAUCCGCUUCUCGCGAAGCAUGAGCUGUGAUGGGGAAGGAAAUUAAGUACGGAAGUUCCUGAUUUCACGCUGUCAAGAAAAGCCUCUAGGAAGAGUAGUACUGCCCGUACCGCAAACCGACACAGGUAGAUGAGGAGAGAAUCCUAAGGUGAGCGAGAGAACUCUCGUUAAGGAACUCGGCAAAAUGACCCCGUAACUUCGGGAGAAGGGGUGCUCUAUUAGGGUGCAAGCCCGAGAGAGCCGCAGUGAAUAGGCCCAGGCGACUGUUUAGCAAAAACACAGGUCUCUGCAAAACCGUAAGGUGACGUAUAGGGGCUGACGCCUGCCCGGUGCUGGAAGGUUAAGAGGAGUGCUUAGCUUCGGCGAAGGUACGAAUUGAAGCCCCAGUAAACGGCGGCCGUAACUAUAACGGUCCUAAGGUAGCGAAAUUCCUUGUCGGGUAAGUUCCGACCCGCACGAAAGGCGCAACGAUCUGGGCACUGUCUCAACGAGAGACUCGGUGAAAUUAUA
rnacentral:rRNA from 1 species